rnacentral:rRNA from 1 species
AUUGAACGCUGGCGGCAUGCCUUACACAUGCAAGUCGAACGGUAACAGGUCUUCGGACGCUGACGAGUGGCGAACGGGUGAGUAAUACAUCGGAACGUGCCUAGUAGUGGGGGAUAACUACUCGAAAGAGUGGCUAAUACCGCAUGAGAUCUACGGAUGAAAGCAGGGGAUCGCAAGACCUUGUGCUACUAGAGCGGCCGAUGGCAGAUUAGGUAGUUGGUGGGAUAAAAGCUUACCAAGCCGACGAGCUGUAGCUGGUCUGAGAGGACGAUCAGCCACACUGGGACUGAGAAACGGCCCAGACUCCUACGGGAGACAGCAGUGGGGAAUUUUGGACAAUGGGCGCAGGCCUGAUCCAGCAAUGCCGCGUGCAGGAUGAAGGCCUUCGGGUUGUAAACUGCUUUUGUACGGAACGAAAAGCCCCGGGUUAAUACCCUGGGGUCAUGACGGUACCGUAAGAAUAAGCACCGGCUAACUACGUGCCAGCCGCCGCCGUAA